rnacentral:tRNA from 1 species
GGCCGGUUAGCUUAGUUGGUUAGAGCGUCGUGCUAAUAACGCGAAUGUCGUGGGUUCGAUCCCCAUACUGGCCA